rnacentral:lncRNA from 1 species
GUUCGUUUUGAAGCAUGUUCUGUCAACUGCGGGACCUUAUAUAGACAGAUGUGUUCCUUCUCCCGAGUGGUGCAGUGGUCUAAGGCACUGUAUCUCAGUGCAAGAGAAGUCACUACAGUACCUGGUUCAAAUCCAGACUGCGUCACAUCCGGCUGUGAUUGGGAGUCCCAUAAGGCGGUGCACAAUUGGCCCAGCGUCGCCAGGGUGGACUCCAAUCAAGUUGUAGAAACAUCUCAAGGAUGAUUGAUGGAAACAGGAUUACCUGGGCUCAAUUUCAAGUCUCAUAGCAAGGGGUCUGAGUACUUACGUAAAUAAGGUCUUUAUCCCUGUCAUCAUAGGGGGGCCCUAGCUGGAUACACAUGGCUGGGUGUAGUCCUGUAGAUAAUUCCCAAUGUGCUGUGUAACAGUGUACUGGUAGACCUGUGAGGAAACUGCUCUCCAGAGGCCCAGCUGCGGGUGGCAGCGUCGGGGGCCUGCAACGUCGAGGCCUGCAGGCUAACAUGCCCCAUUAGCCUGUGUCUCCGCACCCCGCUGUAACGUCUGCUCCAGUCUAAAUACCUGCAACCACUCUGCCUGUGGCCCCCUUAACGCUUUUAUUUUUUGACAUAAAAAAAAUAUAUACUCUCAAUAUCAAGAAAAAACAAACCAUGUCCGAGCCAAAAUAAUGUGUUCAAUGUGUUUUCUUUUUCAUAGAAGGGUUUAUUUUUAGGAGUGUGUGACGCACGUCAGGGCCUUGCAGGUAUUUCUCUCUGUCAACACAACUGUCUCCAUCUUGAACUUGGUUCUGGGAAGAGAGGGAGCAGUAUAGGUUGCAUUGAGAGGGUUCUCAGUUUGAAGAUUGAGGAAGCUGGCUGAGAGACAAGGCUCUUAUUUUUCAUUAGUGCAUCUCACAAAGCUGUCGUACUGUACUGGUGGUGGCUACAAAUGAAGUAUCCUGUUUCUCUCCCUCUACUAAUAUUAGACUGUAAUGAUCCAAGUUGGCUAAACGUUUUUCCUAAUGUAGUUGGAGUGUUUUCUUAUUUCACUUUCCAUGUAUGAGGCGAUAUAUCAAGAACAUGCGAGUGUGGAUGCUAUGGAACAGUAACAUUGCUUACAUUGGUUUUCUUUGAUUUCCACAAUUUGAGUUUUAGUGAUAUUAGGACACUGAGAAGGAGUGGUCAUAAUAUUGCCCAUGAGUUUAGACAUACUCAGAUAAGGCUAAUCCUCUCUGUUAUGUCAGGACUCAGGGGAUCCAGCCUGGUUCCUACAUUUCCCAGACCGAGGACUGGGGUCAAUUCCAUUUAAAUUCAAUGAAUUCAGGAAGUAAACUCAGAUUCCUAUUUAAAUUUUCCUCACUCGUCCUCGCCUUAAAUUUGAAAUGGAAUUGAGCCCGACGUGAUCAGGGCUGUUCCAACAAAGGUCAAUGCUGUCUUGUACCAGCCCAAAUCUACCACUGCCCACUAACUAGAGCAUACUGCCUGAUAACUAGAGCAUACUGCCUGCUAACUACAGCAUACUGCCUGCUAACUAGAACAUACUGCCUGCUAAGUAGAACAUACUUCCUGCUAACUAGAACGUUCUGCCUGCUAACUAGAAAGUACUGCCUGCUAACUGGAACAUUCUGCCUGCUAAGUAGAACAUACUGCCUGUUAACUAGAACAUACUGCCUGUUAACUAGAACAUACUGCCUGCUAACUAGAACAUAGUGCCUGCUAACUAGAACAUUAUGCCUGCUAAGUAGAAUAUACUCCCUGCUAACUA